rnacentral:rRNA from 1 species
AUGCUUGAUCCUACGUUCGACAAGGGCCAUCGUGCACGUUUGAUUGAGAACGGAGUGAUGCUCCCGCCACUGCGGAUGAGGGGUCACGGAGCGACCGUGAAGAUGGAGUACGAAGAGCGGUACGCUCCAUUCUACAGGAGAGCCCGACUGCUGGGUUGCGUCCUGCAGUUCAAGCGCAAGCCGCCGACACUCGUCCACGCAGCUCUCACGGCUUUGAUCAAUCGGUGGCGGCCAGAGACGCAUAGCUUCCAUCUUCCAUGUGGGGACAUGACGGUUACACUCGAGGAUUGGGGGAUGAUUACGGGCCUACCGCUCGAGGGUCAUGCUCUGACAGGACGAGUGGAGAGGAAGAACUGGCAUGACAGGGUUAUCGCCCUCAUCGGCGACUGCCCCCCAGAUAAGAAGAACCGGACUUCCGGCGUCCCGCUGCCCUGGCUCCUGAAGUACCGGAGCAAGUGC